UUCACAGCGAUCUCUUCAGACCUUAUUCUUGUGUUUAAGACAAGUCUUUCUAGCCCUUGAGACAGUGGCCACAGCACACAGGCCUACCUGAAACUGUAUUUGGAUUGUAUAAAAGCAGACCACAACUCUGAUCUGUUUGAGAACAGCU